rnacentral:rRNA from 1 species
AGCAACGCCGCGUGAGUGAUGAAGGUUUUCGGAUCGUAAAGCUCUGUUGUUAGGGAAGAACAAGUACCGUUCGAAUAGGGCGGUACCUUGACGGUACCUAACCAGAAAGCCACGGCUAACUACGUGCCAGCAGCCGCGGUAAUACGUAGGUGGCAAGCGUUGUCCGGAAUUAUUGGGCGUAAAGGGCUCGCAGGCGGUUUCUUAAGUCUGAUGUGAAAGCCCCCGGCUCAACCGGGGAGGGUCAUUGGAAACUGGGGAACUUGAGUGCAGAAGAGGAGAGUGGAAUUCCACGUGUAGCGGUGAAAUGCGUAGAGAUGUGGAGGAACACCAGUGGCGAAGGCGACUCUCUGGUCUGUAACUGACGCUGAGGAGCGAAAGCGUGGGGAGCGAACAGGAUUAGAUACCCUGGUAGUCCACGCCGUAAACGAUGAGUGCUAAGUGUUAGGGGGUUUCCGCCCCUUAGUGCUGCAGCUAACGCAUUAAGCACUCCGCCUGGGGAGA